rnacentral:rRNA from 1 species
AAGAAACUAACAAGGAUUCCCCUAGUAACUGCGAGUGAACCGGGAAAAGCUCAAAUUUUGAAUCUGGCGGUCUUUACGGCCGUCCGAGUUGUAAUCUAGAGAAGCGUCUUCCGCGCUGGACCGUGUAUAAGUUUCCUGGAAUGGAACGUCGUAGAGGGUGACAAUCCCGUCUUUGACACGGACUCCCAGGGCUAUGUGAUGCGCUCUCGACGAGUCGAGUUGUUUGGGAAUGCAGCUCAAAUAGGGUGGUAAAUUCCAUCUAAAGCUAAAUACAGGCGAGAGACCGAUAGCGAACAAGUACCGUGAGGGAAAGAUGAAAAGAACUUUGGAAAGAGAGUUAAACAGUACGUGAAAUUGCUGAAAGGGAAACGCUUGAUGUCAGUCGCGUCGGCCGGGGAUCAGCCUUGCUUCAUCGCUCGGCGUACUUCCUGGUCGACGGGUCAGCAUCGGUUUCGACCGUCGGAAAAUGGCUCGAGGAAUGUGGCACUCUUCGGAGUGUGUUAUAGACUCGGGUCGAAUACGGCGGUUGGGACCGAGGAACUCAGUACGACCUUACGGUUCGGGGCUUCGGCUCACGUUAACGUGCUUAGGAUGCUGGCAUAAUGGCCUUAAGCGACCCGUCU